AUGCGCGAUUACUUUUUCCAUCUACUGAGCCGCUUCAUUCACUCCUCUUUCGUUCAUUCAGCCAACACGACAGAUAGUUCUUCCCCCAGAUAUUUCUGGCUGGUUUUGGACAGAUUUUCUCUACUUUCUGAACUAGUCGCUCCGAGCCAGAGGAUGUUAUAUUUUCAGCAGGACCGAGAAGCCUCUCUUUGGAGCAUCGGCCGGCCUCAGCUUACCAGGGUAGUGUUUGCAUGUGGACUCCGUUUAACAGCAAAUUAAAUUCCGCUGUGAUCUGAGAAAGGGCUUCUGGAGAAGUGGACAGAAUGGAGAAGAAGGGACUUCUGCUCAGAAGAG
rnacentral:lncRNA from 1 species